CGCCUUCUAUCCAGCCUUCAAGCCAUCGCGGAAUAAUAAUAGCGUUGGUGGAGUUGCGGUUUUAGUUAAGACUUCGCUUCGUCAUUUUCCACAAAGGGUCAUUGAGACACGCA